rnacentral:rRNA from 1 species
UACGAAGGGGGCUAGCGUUGCUCGGAAUGACUGGGCGUAAAGGGCGCGUAGGCGGUUUGUACAGUCAGAUGUGAAAUUCCUGGGCUUAACCUGGGGGCUGCAUUUGAUACGUGCAGACUUGAGUGAGGAAGAGGGUUGUGGAAUUCCCAGUGUAGAGGUGAAAUUCGUAGAUAUUGGGAAGAACACCGGUGGCGAAGGCGGCGACCUGGUCCGACACUGACGCUGAGGCGCGAAAGCGUGGGGAGCAAACAGG